GAGGAGGGCCAGAGACCCAACUGACUCUUGAGACCAUGACGGUUGCCCUCCUGUAAAAGGGAUUCUCGUGUGCCAAGUGUGGGUAAAUUGUUAUCGCCUACUUGUGAAAACCCAGACCUCCUUCACUACAUAUGGAAACAGCUUCCUUUAUUAUUUUGGAGACAUUUGUCCUUUGCAAGUAUAGAUUCUGUCUUCUGUCUUAGUAUCUCAAAUAUCAGUACAAUUUCUGGCUCAUUUUUAUACUCAGUAAAUUGUCAUUGAGAAUGCAUGAAAAAAUGGCAAGCCUUUGUUUGUUUUUGAAGCUCACCAGAAAAUGUCAGGCUGAGUGUUCCACACUGGGAUAAAGGACGAAGGCUCAGCCUUUGUCCUGAAGGACCUAGCCAUUAGUAAUGGAAAAGAGAUAUCAGUAAGUAACCCACUGUAAGUACUUGCUUAAACCCCAUUAAAUACUUGCUUAAAAUAAAAGCAAAGUGUAAAGGGAAAACAGCAGAGAAAAGAGCCCUCAGAGAGCAGGCAGUCUUGCUAGGGAGCUAAGGCAAGUCAGAAGAAGGGGGAUGAUGCACAGAUAGGGUAUAAUACACUGUCAAGACUGUGUAGCGCUUAUAGCUUCUAUGUAUGCAUAAUCAGUUCAAUAGAGUUUAGAAUACUUUAAGAAUGAAUGAAACCUUAAACUUUAUAAAUAAUAUGUAUGUGUUGCCACUCUCCACACAAUGUGCUAUGUUUGAUGCUUGCCUUGAACUAAUACUUUCACUACAAAUCAUUUAGAUAAUAUUUAGGUAGUUAAUUCAAUAAUAUUUUGCUUUAAAAUAUCCAGGCAAGAAAAACAGACUUUCUUAAGAGAUAUUGAAGAUUUAUGAGGAACUGGAAAUAAAUAUCGACACAUUAAGGAUGAUCUUUGCUUUGAUUCACUACAAAUCUUUCAGCUCCAGUUUUUUGAAUGAACUAUUUAAUAGACAUAGUCUAAGCCAUGAAGAAAAAUAAAAGUUUAUGCACUAAUUCUUCAGAGAAAAAAAAGACAGCAAUGGUACAGGAUAACAGAGUAUUUAAUUUCAAAAUAUGUGAACACAGACUCUGAACCUAUAGCAACAAAAACAAGUCCCAGUGAGUAACAUCAUAACCCAAGUAAAAAGACAAUUGCAAUGUUGGUUAAUAUGACAAGAUGAAAUGGCCCUUUAAUGAAUUCUACAUUGUACCUGUCACAAACAGUUGGAAUGACAAGAUAUCAAGGCUCUGUCUUCUGUCCUCCAAACCAAAGUUUCCAGAACAAGAGACUUUAUGUGAUUUGAUUAGAGAUUAUUCAGGCACCUCAGGGAAACUAAAAUAUAUUGCUUUUUUUUCUAUAUAGACAUACAGCAGGAGGAUCUCCUGGAAUUCAUAUGUGACUCCAAGAAAAGAGGAAAGACUGGAUGCUUUCCUGAAUGGUCUGUCAAUGGCUGACCUCAGAUCCCUGCUCAGUCUUUCUUUGAUAUUUUCAGAUAAAAUAACUAACUAUAACCAUCCACAAGGUGACACCCUUGGCCCUGAAUCUAGUCCCACCUGCCACCUCAAACAACCCAAAAGAAACUCUGUGGUUCAUGGUCUGCCGUGAUCACUCAUAACCAGGCAACACAGAGCAGAUCAUUUGUCUCACCAAUUAGAGCACAAGUUCCAUGAGUUUGGGGAUUGUCCUUGCCUGGGUUGCCACUGUAUAGUACCUGGUAUGGUAUCAUACCUGUACCUGUAACCUGGUAUGGUACAUACUAAGCUCAAUAACUGUUUGUUGUUGUUGUUUUUAUGUUAAUGUACAACAGAUCUUUGUUUAACAAAUGUGUAAACCAAUUAUAUUGUAUCUAAAAAUGAAAACAUGUGCUUGGAACGCUAGUGAUUUCUAUUUGUU